rnacentral:rRNA from 1 species
UUAAGCGACUAAGCGUACACGGUGGAUGCCCUGGCAGUCAGAGGCGAUGAAGGACGUGCUAAUCUGCGAUAAGCGUCGGUAAGGUGAUAUGAACCGUUAUAACCGGCGAUUUCCGAAUGGGGAAACCCAGUGUGUUUCGACACACUAUCAUUAACUGAAUCCAUAGGUUAAUGAGGCGAACCGGGGGAACUGAAACAUCUAAGUACCCCGAGGAAAAGAAAUCAACCGAGAUUCCCCCAGUAGCGGCGAGCGAACGGGGAGCAGCCCAGAGCCUGAAUCAGUAUGUGUGUUAGUGGAAGCGUCUGGAAAGGCGCGCGAUACAGGGUGACAGCCCCGUACACAAAAAUGCACAUGCUGUGAGCUCGAUGAGUAGGGCGGGACACGUGGUAUCCUGUCUGAAUAUGGGGGGACCAUCCUCCAAGGCUAAAUACUCCUGACUGACCGAUAGUGAACCAGUACCGUGAGGGAAAGGCGAAAAGAACCCCGGCGAGGGGAGUGAAAAAGAACCUGAAACCGUGUACGUACAAGCAGUGGGAGCACGCUUAGGCGUGUGACUGCGUACCUUUUGUAUAAUGGGUCAGCGACUUAUAUUCUGUAGCAAGGUUAACCGAAUAGGGGAGCCGAAGGGAAACCGAGUCUUAACUGGGCGUUAAGUUGCAGGGUAUAGACCCGAAACCCGGUGAUCUAGCCAUGGGCAGGUUGAAGGUUGGGUAACACUAACUGGAGGACCGAACCGACUAAUGUUGAAAAAUUAGCGGAUGACUUGUGGCUGGGGGUGAAAGGCCAAUCAAACCGGGAGAUAGCUGGUUCUCCCCGAAAGCUAUUUAGGUAGCGCCUCGUGAAUUCAUCUCCGGGGGUAGAGCACUGUUUCGGCAAGGGGGUCAUCCCGACUUACCAACCCGAUGCAAACUGCGAAUACCGGAGAAUGUUAUCACGGGAGACACACGGCGGGUGCUAACGUCCGUCGUGAAGAGGGAAACAACCCAGACCGCCAGCUAAGGUCCCAAAGUCAUGGUUAAGUGGGAAACGAUGUGGGAAGGCCCAGACAGCCAGGAUGUUGGCUUAGAAGCAGCCAUCAUUUAAAGAAAGCGUAAUAGCUCACUGGUCGAGUCGGCCUGCGCGGAAGAUGUAACGGGGCUAAACCAUGCACCGAAGCUGCGGCAGCGACACUAUGUGUUGUUGGGUAGGGGAGCGUUCUGUAAGCCUGUGAAGGUGUGCUGUGAGGCAUGCUGGAGGUAUCAGAAGUGCGAAUGCUGACAUAAGUAACGAUAAAGCGGGUGAAAAGCCCGCUCGCCGGAAGACCAAGGGUUCCUGUCCAACGUUAAUCGGGGGCAGGGUGAGUCGACCCCUAAGGCGAGGCCGAAAGGCGUAGUCGAUGGGAAACAGGUUAAUAUUCCUGUACUUGGUGUUACUGCGAAGGGGGGACGGAGAAGGCUAUGUUGGCCGGGCGACGGUUGUCCCGGUUUAAGCGUGUAGGCUGGUUUUCCAGGCAAAUCCGGAAAAUCAAGGCUGAGGCGUGAUGACGAGGCACUACGGUGCUGAAGCAACAAAUGCCCUGCUUCCAGGAAAAGCCUCUAAGCAUCAGGUAACAUCAAAUCGUACCCCAAACCGACACAGGUGGUCAGGUAGAGAAUACCAAGGCGCUUGAGAGAACUCGGGUGAAGGAACUAGGCAAAAUGGUGCCGUAACUUCGGGAGAAGGCACGCUGAUAUGUAGGUGAAGCGACUUGCUCGUGGAGCUGAAAUCAGUCGAAGAUACCAGCUGGCUGCAACUGUUUAUUAAAAACACAGCACUGUGCAAACACGAAAGUGGACGUAUACGGUGUGACGCCUGCCCGGUGCCGGAAGGUUAAUUGAUGGGGUCAGCGCAAGCGAAGCUCUUGAUCGAAGCCCCGGUAAACGGCGGCCGUAACUAUAACGGUCCUAAGGUAGCGAAAUUCCUUGUCGGGUAAGUUCCGACCUGCACGAAUGGCGUAAUGAUGGCCAGGCUGUCUCCACCCGAGACUCAGUGAAAUUGAACUCGCUGUGAAGAUGCAGUGUACCCGCGGCAAGACGGAAAGACCCCGUGAACCUUUACUAUAGCUUGACACUGAACAUUGAGCCUUGAUGUGUAGGAUAGGUGGGAGGCUUUGAAGUGUGGACGCCAGUCUGCAUGGAGCCGACCUUGAAAUACCACCCUUUAAUGUUUGAUGUUCUAACGUGGACCCGUGAUCCGGGUUGCGGACAGUGUCUGGUGGGUAGUUUGACUGGGGCGGUCUCCUCCUAAAGAGUAACGGAGGAGCACGAAGGUUGGCUAAUCCUGGUCGGACAUCAGGAGGUUAGUGCAAUGGCAUAAGCCAGCUUGACUGCGAGCGUGACGGCGCGAGCAGGUGCGAAAGCAGGUCAUAGUGAUCCGGUGGUUCUGAAUGGAAGGGCCAUCGCUCAACGGAUAAAAGGUACUCCGGGGAUAACAGGCUGAUACCGCCCAAGAGUUCAUAUCGACGGCGGUGUUUGGCACCUCGAUGUCGGCUCAUCACAUCCUGGGGCUGAAGUAGGUCCCAAGGGUAUGGCUGUUCGCCAUUUAAAGUGGUACGCGAGCUGGGUUUAGAACGUCGUGAGACAGUUCGGUCCCUAUCUGCCGUGGGCGCUGGAGAACUGAGGGGGGCUGCUCCUAGUACGAGAGGACCGGAGUGGACGCAUCACUGGUGUUCGGGUUGUCAUGCCAAUGGCACUGCCCGGUAGCUAAAUGCGGAAGAGAUAAGUGCUGAAAGCAUCUAAGCACGAAACUUGCCCCGAGAUGAGUUCUCCCUGACUCCUUGAGAGUCCUGAAGGAACGUUGAAGACGACGACGUUGAUAGGCCGGGUGUGUAAGCGCAGCGAUGCGUUGAGCUAACCGGUACUAAUGAACCGUGAGGCUUAACCUU